rnacentral:lncRNA from 1 species
GUACUCUUAGUCAGUCCUUAGAUCUCAGUAGCAUUCCGUUGGUCAAUGAAACUCAGUAAAUUCAAUUUUAGCUCUGUUAAACAAUACCAUCAAUUAAUUAGUUUAGUUUAUUUAAAUCAGUUUAAUUUAGUUAAUUAGUUCCAUGUCUAUUUAGUUGGGAGUAGGAUUCAGCACAGAGUGAACCCAAGAAUGGGGACUCACUUAUUAUUCAGUGGAGGGUGUAAUCCUUAAAAACAAU